GUAGUCUCGCACAGAUGCAUAUCAAUAAGCGGAGGAAAAGAAACUAACAAGGAUUCCCCUAGUAACGGCGAGUGAAGCGGGAAGAGUUCAAAUUUGAAAUCUUAAAGGGUUUCCCUUUACGAAUUGUAGUUUAAAGAAGUGUUUUCUGUUGAGGUUUUGGUAAAAGUUCUUUGGAAUAGGACAUCAUAGAGGGUGAGAAUCCCGUAUUUGACCUUUACUUUCAACUUUGUGAUACACUUUCAAAGAGUCGGAUUGUUUGGGAAUGCAGUCCAAAAUGGGUGGUAAAUUUCAUCUAAAGCUAAAUAUUGGCGAGAGACCGAUAGCGAACAAGUACCGUGAGGGAAAGAUGAAAAGAACUUUGAAAAGAGAGUUAAACAGUACGUGAAAUUGUCAAAAGGGAAGCGUUUGACACCAGUGUUGUUUUUCUGAAAAUCAAUUAAAGAACUGUUUAUGCUAAGCUGUUUAGACUUUAUCAGCUAUCUGUUUAGUUUUGAGCUUUUCUUUAAUGCACUUUUCAGUUAACAAGUCAACAUCAAUUUCUUUUGCUGUAAAAAAGCUUGAGGAAGGUGGCUUGAGAUUCGUCUUAAGUGUUUAUAGCCUCUUGCCUAUGCAGUCGGAGAGAUUGAGGUCUGCAGCGUAGAUCCUUCGGGGCUAAAUGCAUUUGUGCUAAGUUAUAGCAUUUUAUAGACAACUUGUUGACUAUGAUUUGUCUUGUAGCUUACUCGCUUAUGUUAUUUUACCUACGCUUAGGAUGUUGAUCUGUAGUGCGUGCGC
rnacentral:rRNA from 1 species